rnacentral:rRNA from 1 species
GAUGAACGCUGGCGGCGUGCCUAAUACAUGCAAGUCGAGCGAACGGACGAGAAGCUUUCUUCUCUGAUGUUAUCGGCGGACGGGAGAUUAACACGUGGAUAACCUACCUAUAAGACUGGGAUAACUUCGGGAGACCGUAGCUACUACCGGAUGAUAUUUUGAACCGCAUGGUUCAAAAGUUAAAGACGGUCUUGCUGUCACUUAUAGAUUGAUCCGCCCUGCAUUAGCUAGUUGGUAAGGUAGCGGCUUACCAAGGCAACGAUGGAUAGACGACCUGAGCGGGUGAUUGCCCACACUGUAUGUGAGGAACGGCCGACACUCUUACGCGGGGCAGCAGUAGGGACUCCUCCGCGAUGGGCGAAAGCCGGACGGUGCAACGCCGCGUGAGUGAUGAUCCUCUUCGGAUCCUAGAGCUCUGUUAUUAGGAAGGUACAUAUGCGCAAGUACCUGUGAACAUCUUGACGGUACCUAAUGAGAAAGCUCCGGCUAACUCCGUG